CCUANGGGUGGCAGCAGUGGGGAAUUUUGGACAAUGGGGGCAACCCUGAUCCAGCCAUGCCGCGUGCGGGAAGAAGGCCUUCGGGUUGUAAACCGCUUUUGUCCGGGAAGAAAAGGCACCACCUAAUACGGGGUGUUCUUGACGGUACCGGAAGAAUAAGCACCGGCUAACUACGUGCCAGCAGCCGCGGUAAUACGUAGGGUGCGAGCGUUAAUCGGAAUUACUGGGCGUAAAGCGUGCGCAGGCGGUUCGCUAAGUCUGAUGUGAAAGCCCCGGGCUCAACCUGGGAACGGCAUUGGAAACUGGCGAGCUUGAGUGUGGCAGAGGGGGGUGGAAUUCCACGUGUAGCAGUGAAAUGCGUAGAGAUGUGGAGGAAUACCAAUGGCGAAGGCAGCCCCCUGGGAUAACACUGACGCUCAUGUACGGAAGCGUGGGUAGCAAACAGGAUUAGAUACCCCUNUANUC
rnacentral:rRNA from 1 species